rnacentral:lncRNA from 10 species
GUGAUCUCUUGUCGCCUUCCAGACCCAAAGAUUUCCUUUGGUCCCGGCAAGCUAGCCCAUCUGGGCCUCAGAGGAUGUUAAGUGGCUACUCCAAAGGGAUAUAUUUUAAAAAGCUGACAAUGGAUUUGUUUCCUCGCACAGAAAUUCUCUGAAAAACGUAAACAUAGAGAUGAUGAAAUAUCCUGUUCCUUUCUGAAAAAACAAAACCCCUCAGCUCAUUUUCCUUCCAGGCUCAAGGGCGGACAAUGGUGAUAUAGCCCAGGCCUAUAUACGGGCAGUGGGGCUAGAGGAUAGUGCUGCACGUAAAAGAGGUUGAGGAGGCAUUGGAUGUGAGUUUGAAUCCCUACCCUGAAUGUGACUGAGACAGUUAAUGUCUCAUCAACCUUCUUAUCUGUGAAAUGAAGACAAUGAUAGUAUCUCUCUCGGGCAUGUGAAGUUUAAACCAGAUAAAUUAGGUAAAGUGCCUAGUAUAUAAUAGGUGUGCUUACACAAAAGUAAGUUUCUUUCGGACACUAAGAGCUAGAUUCCAGGACCUGGAACUGGAGAACAAGAUUGAUGAUGUUAAAUGAACUAGCUGUCCCUAAGGUUAAUUUCAGGGUGUAAGGAAGGAUGGAGAGCAAAGUGAUGAUUUUUCUCACAUUUUGCCUAUGAACUCUGUGAGUCAAAAAGUGUUUCAGUAUUUUAAAACUUCAUUCUUAAAAAAGUGAUCAGAAGUACAUUAAAAUUUUGUAUAACAUACUCAUGUAUUAUUAUUUCCUCUGUUAUUAAAAUAGGGGAAUAGGGGAAAUUAGAAAGCCAGGUAUAAGGUGAGAGAAUGCAAACAGUUAUGGUAAAUCAGAUAGCUGCAUAAUGUUAUAGAAUAUUUUAUGACAGAAAAUUCAUAAAGUGUUAAGCAAAAAAAGGACACCAAACAAUACAGUAUACAGUAUGACUAUAUAUGUAUAGAAAAAAAAGGCUAGGAUAGGCCAGGCGUGGUGGCUUACACCUGCAAUCCC